rnacentral:rRNA from 1 species
UACAGAGGGUGCAAGCGUUGUUCGGAAUUACUGGGCGCAAAGCGCGCGUAGGCGGCUUUGUAAGUUAGAGGUGAAAGCCCGGGGCUCAACCCCGGAACUGCCUUUAAGACUGCAUCGCUUGAAUCCGGGAGAGGUGAGUGGAAUUCCGAGUGUAGAGGUGAAAUUCGUAGAUAUUCGGAAGAACACCAGUGGCGAAGGCGGCUCACUGGACCGGUAUUGACGCUGAGGUGCGAAAGCGUGGGGAGCAAACAGG